rnacentral:rRNA from 1 species
UUAAGCUAUAAAGAGCACAGGGCGGAUGCCUAGGCACUGAGAGCCGACGAAGGACGUGACAAGCUGCGAUAAGCUGCGGGGAGAAGCAAAUAUUCUGUGAGCCGCAGAUUUCCGAAUGGGGGAACCCACGUGAGCAAACCUCACGUAUCCAUACGCCAAUCCAUAACGUAUGGAAGGGAACCCGGGGAACUGAAACAUCUAAGUACCCGGAGGAAGAGAAAGAAACAUCGAUUUCCUUAGUAGCGGCGAGCGAAAGGGAAAGAGCCCAAACCGCGGGAUUUAUCCUGCGGGGUUAGGACUGCAUAAUUGAUUCGGGAUUGAUAGGAGAACGGUCUGGGAAGUCCGGCGAAAAAGCGUGAAAGCCGCGUAUCCGAAAUCGAAACCGACAUGGCAGUAUCCAGAGUACCACGAGACACGAGAAACCUUGUGGGAAUGAGCGGAGACCACUCCGUAAGGCUAAAUACUACUCAGUGACCGAUAGCGCAUAGUACUGUGAAGGAAAGGUGAAAAGGACCCCGGGAGGGGAGUGAAAGAGAACCUGAAACCCUGUGUUUACAAGCUGUCGGAGCACUAUAAAUGUGCGACGGCGUACUUUUUGUAGAACGGUCCGGCGAGUUAUGGCAUGUGGUAAGGUUAAGUACUUCAGGUACGGAGCCGAAGCGAAAGCGAGUGUGAACAGCACGUAAGAAUCACCUGCCAUAGACCCGAAACCGGGUGAUCUAUCCAUGUCCAGGAUGAAGCUGCCGUAAGAGGUAGUGGAGGUCCGAACACACAUCCGUUGAAAAGGGUGGUGAUGAGGUGUGGAUAGGGGAGAAAUUCCAAUCGAACCCGGAGAUAGCUGGUUCUCCUCGAAAUAGCUUUAGGGCUAGCCCCGUAACAGUCUUGCGGAGGUAGAGCACUGAAUUUCCUAGGGGGCGUCAAAGCCUACCGAAGAAUAUCAAACUGCGAAUGCCGUACAGAUGAUUUACGGGAGUCAGACUGCACGAGAUAAGUUGGGUGGUCAAAAGGGAAAGAGCCCAGACCCGCAGCUAAGGUCCCAAAGUGCGUGUUAAGUGGAAAAGGAUGUGGGAUUUCGAAGACAACCAGGAUGUUGGCUCAGAAGCAGCCACACAUUAAAAGAGUGCGUAAUAGCUCACUGGUCGAGAGGUCCUGCGCCGAAAAUGUCCGGGGCUGAAACACGACACCGAAGCUCGGGAAUCAGUAAUGAUUGGUAGAGGAGCAUUGAAGACGGAACGAAGCCAUACCGGAAGGAGUGGUGGACUGUCUUGAAGAGAGAAUGCCGGAAUGAGUAGCGAGAGAGAAGUGGGAAUCUUCUCGGCCGAAUAUCCAAGGUUUCCAGGGUAAAGCUGAUCUGCCCUGGGUAAGUCGGGGCCUAAGGCGAGGUCGGAAGACGUAGCCGAUGGACAACAGGUUGAAAUUCCUGUACUGUGAUAUAUCAGAACUGUGGGGACACAGCGGGAAGGCAUGGGCCGGAAAAGGAAAAUCCGGUGCAAGCACCAGAGGAGUAUGGCAGGCAAAUCCGCCAUGCAAUCCGAAAGUGUGAUGCGGAGCGAACAAAAGUAGCGAAGCAUGCUUACCGGCUGUCGAGAAAAGCCGCUAUUGCGUAUAUCACACCCGUACCGUAAACCGACACAGGUGGAUGAGGAGAGAAUCCUAAGGCCGGCGGGAGAAGCAUUGUUAAGGAACUCGGCAAAAUGACCCCGUAACUUCGGGAGAAGGGGUGCUCUUGAAAAAGAGCCGCAGAGAAUUGGCCCAAGCAACUGUUUAGCAAAAACACAGGUCUAUGCAAAACCGAAAGGUGAGGUAUAUGGGCUGACGCCUGCCCGGUGCUGGAAGGUUAAGAGGAGAGGUUAUCGUAAGAGAAGCCUUGAAUUUAAGCCCCAGUAAACGGCGGCCGUAACUAUAACGGUCCUAAGGUAGCGAAAUUCCUUGUCGGGUAAGUUCCGACCCGCACGAAAGGCGUAAUGAUUUGGGCACUGUCUCGACAAUGCACCCGGUGAAAUUGAAAUACCAGUGAAGAUGCUGGUUACCUGCGCCAGGACGGAAAGACCCCAUGGAGCUUUACUCUAGCUUGAUACUGGGAUUCGGUAUUGCAUGUACAGGAUAGGUGGGAGGCUGCGAAGUGAUGACGCCAGUUGUCACGGAGCCGAUGUUGGGAUACCACCCCUGCAGUACUGGGUUUCUAACCUGCGGCCGU